AUUGAACGCUGGCGGCAGGCCUAACAAAUGCAAGUCGAGCGGAGCGGCGGACGGGUGAGUAAUGCCUAGGAAUCUGCAUGGUAGUGGGGGAUCACGUCCGGGAACGGGCGCUAAUACCGCAUAAUAUCAGAUGAGCCUAGGGCGGAUUAGCUAGUUGGUGGGGGAAAGGGCGACCAAGGCGACGAUCCGUAACUGGUCUGAGAGGAUGAUCAGUCACACGGGAACUUGGACCCGGUCCAGACUCCGACGGUAGGCAGCAUUGGGGAAUAUUGGACGAUGGGCGAAAGCCUGAUCCAGCCAUGCCGCGUGUUUGGAGAAGGUCUUCGGAUUGUAAAGCACUUUAAGUUGGGAGGCGUUACCAACAGAAUAAGCACCGGCUAACUUCGUGCCAGCAGCCGCGGUAAUUC
rnacentral:rRNA from 1 species